rnacentral:rRNA from 1 species
GCAAGUCGAACGAUCUCUUCGGAGAUAGUGGCAGACGGGUGAGUAACGCGUGGGAACCUACCUUAUUCUACGGAAUAACAGUUAGAAAUGACUGCUAAUACCGUAUACGCCCUUCGGGGGAAAGAUUUAUCGGAGUAGGAUGGGCCCGCGUUGGAUUAGCUAGUUGGUGGGGUAAUGGCCUACCAAGGCGACGAUCAGUAGCCGACCUGAGAGGGUGAUC